AACAAACGCUGGCGGCAGGCCUAACACAUGCAAGUCGAGCGCGCCCUUCGGGGUGAGCGGCGGACGGGUGAGUAACGCGUGGGAACGUGCCCUUUUCUACGGAAUAGCCUCGGGAAACUGAGAGUAAUACCGUAUACGCCCUUUGGGGGAAAGAUUUAUCGGAAAAGGAUCGGCCCGCGUUGGAUUAGGUAGUUGGUGGGGUAAUGGCCUACCAAGCCGACGAUCCAUAGCUGGUUUGAGAGGAUGAUCAGCCACACUGGGACUGAGACACGGCCCAGACUCCUACGGGAGGCAGCAGUGGGGAAUCUUAGACAAUGGGGGCAACCCUGAUCUAGCCAUGCCGCGUGAGUGAUGAAGGCCUUAGGGUUGUAAAGCUCUUUCAGCUGGGAAGAUAAUGACGGUACCAGCAGAAGAAGCCCCGGCUAACUCCGUG
rnacentral:rRNA from 1 species